GCUGAUAUGGCCGAGUCGUUAAGGCGAGUGAUUUGAACCCCAUUCCAUAUAUAUGUUCCUAUAUAUAUGCAAUGAUUCACUAUCACUUGGGCAUUGCCCGCGUAGGUUCAAAUCCUGCUGUCAGCG